GAUGUGCGCGAGCACUUAUCCUUCACACACCUGUGCACCGUGGUCUCCGGACCGUUUUACAAACCAAGUAGUCACGAACGUCUUUAUGAUAACAAAAUAAAACUUUCAACAACGGAUCUCUUGGCUCU
rnacentral:misc_RNA from 1 species